rnacentral:snRNA from 1 species
GUGCUCACUUCUGCAGCACAUACACUAAACAAUAAAGAGACUGUCACGGCUCCUGUGCAAGGAUGACAUGCAAAUUCAUGAAGCGUUUCAUAUUUAA